AAAAUACUGUUUCAAAAUAGCAUUUUUACAGUCAGGUCCAAGGGACCUUAGGGCCAAUGUACACCAUAACGACAAAAUCGAAAUUAAUCAGUCAAGAUAUACUUGUGGGAAAGUUCAGGUUUAAUUCAAGGAGUGUCAAAUAUAUUACUAUUCAGGAAUUACAUCCAUUUUUAUCUGCAGUUUCUCCAUUUUCAGAGGUUACCCUAAGCCAGGAUUUCAGAUAGACUUGCCAGAAGGCACAUGGGAGACUGAGACCUAAAUGUUAUCUCCUCUGAGGAUGGGUUAUGUUGACUUAAAAUUAGGGAAUAACCCGUUGUGUCUGAUGAUUUGCGAACGUUAAUGCUGGAUUUUAUGGUGGUUAAUUGAGUUUUAAAACGGAUAUCUGCAACCUUAAAAUCCAGCAUUAACGUCCGCAAAUCAUCACACAAGGGGGUUAUUCCCAUUCUAAUCCAAUUCCAUCUUUUGCACGGUUUACUUUUCUGGAAGUAAUUCAACCAAAAGACCACUUCACGGGUGAAGGCUACAUCUAAACCUGCAUAAUAACAUAGUUCGAUAACUGUUACACAGACCGUAGUUUUAGGGAAAUUUUGCUAGAUUCCUGGUCCCGAGUUGUCAAAUAAUCACCGUUAGUAUUGUAUUUAUCGGUUAUCACAGUAGUAAUUGCAAUACUUACAUUGGUCGGCAAAGCUUACCGCAGCAACAGCAUCUUCAUGCCAAACUGGAAAUUCUGUGAACAGACCCACAGAUUUCUCUAUCUGGUCAACUGCAUUGAGUAAUUCUGUAUCAGAUUCCACAUCAAUACUUAAAUAUGAUAGAUUAAAUUCACCCAUUUCAGCAUUGUCAUUGCUCCACCAGUUUUUCUCACGCUCUUCUUCUUCGUGUUUAAUGGCAGUUGGCAACCUUCUCUCGCUCUCAGCUGACAGCGUCAUUACUGACAUCUGCCUAGCAAUGUGGUCAGGGUGCAGAGUAACACAUCAAAUGUGAAACUGUAGAAUAUUUUGCCACUGUCAAUGCUAUAUUUUAUGGUUGAAAUCUCACACGAUUAACCAAUCACAUUUGCGGAACAAAUGUAAUUGGAUUAGAAUUAUAUAUAUAUUGUGGCAUUUUUGAUAUUAUAAUUUGUGUAAAUUUAUUAAUUAUUAAAAUAACAUGGGACAAAAUGAUACAAUAAUGCAAUAACAUUCAAAUGUGGUCCAAAACCAUGUGAGGGGGACUUGGAUGCUGUCACUGUUUAAAAUCCUUAUUGGGAGCAGCGAGAAAAAAGAAAAUAUGUUGUGUCCCUUGAAAGCACCUGAUUUCCGAAGAUCGCAGGAAAGUGUCCAUGGCACAAUUACACAGCACCAGAAGGAGCAUGGAAGGAGGAAAAGUCCAAGACAUAUUCAGUGACUGAGAAAUUAUGAAUCUCCCUC